rnacentral:rRNA from 1 species
UACGUAGGUGGCAAGCGUUAUCCGGAAUUAUUGGGCGUAAAGCGCGCGCAGGCGGUUUCUUAAGUCUGAUGUGAAAGCCCACGGCUCAACCGUGGAGGGUCAUUGGAAACUGGGGAACUUGAGUGCAGAAGAGAAAAGCGGAAUUCCACGUGUAGCGGUGAAAUGCGUAGAGAUGUGGAGGAACACCAGUGGCGAAGGCGGCUUUUUGGUCUGUAACUGACGCUGAGGCGCGAAAGCGUGGGGAGCAAAUAGG